UGGUGGGUUGCCUUGUCAGGUUGAUUCCGGUAACGAACGAGACCUCAGCCUGCUAAAUAGUUACGGGUACCUUGGUACACGCUUAACUUCUUAGAGGGACUAUUGGCGUUUAGUCAAUGGAAGUGUGAGGCAAUAACA
rnacentral:rRNA from 1 species